UAGGGAAUCUUCCACAAUGGGCGCAAGCCUGAUGGAGCAACACCGCGUGAGUGAAGAAGGGUUUCGGCUCGUAAAACACUGUUGUAAGAGAAGAAUGACAUUGAGAGUAACUGUUCAAUGUGUGACGGUAUCUUACCAGAAAGGAACGGCUAAAUACGUGCUAG
rnacentral:rRNA from 1 species